AAAGGAUGGAAAAGGGAAAAAAGUUUAGUUAGUUUAAUAUCUGAUACAUCCCCCAUUGGGAGACUACAUAUUAAAUUGAUUUUUCAAACAGGGAGUCGGAAAUGGGGCUUGCUCCUUCUGCUCCACGCAUCAACCCGGUUCUUCCGCUCCAUGCAUCGACUCAGUGCCUCCGGGAACGGUGCAACACUU
rnacentral:snRNA from 13 species